UACAGAGGGGGCAAGCGUUGUUCGGAAUUACUGGGCGUAAAGGGCGCGUAGGCGGCCUGUUAAGUCGAACGUGAAAUCCCCGGGCUCAACCCGGGAACUGCGUCCGAUACUGGCAGGCUUGAAUUCGGGAGAGGGAUGCGGAAUUCCAGGUGUAGCGGUGAAAUGCGCAGAUAUCAGGAGGAACACCGGUGGCGAAGGCGGAUCUCUGGGCCAUUACUGACGCUGAGGAGCGAAAGCGUGGGGAGCGAACAGG
rnacentral:rRNA from 1 species